rnacentral:rRNA from 1 species
UACGUAGGAUGCAAGCGUUGUCCGGAAUUAUUGGGCGUAAAGAGCGCGCAGGCGGUAACUCAAGUCAGAUGUGAAAUAUCCGGGCUUAACCCGGAGGGGUCAUUUGAAACUGAGUAACUAGAGUACAGCAGAGGAUAGCGGAAUUCCCCGGUGUAGUGGUGAAAUGCGUAGAUAUCGGGAGGAACACCAGUGGCGAAGGCGGCGAUCUGGGGAAGAUACUGACGCUGAGGUGCGAAAGCGUGGGGAGCAAACAGG